rnacentral:rRNA from 1 species
UACGUAGGGGGCAAGCGUUGUCCGGAAUCAUUGGGCGUAAAGCGCGUGUAGGCGGCUCGGUAAGUCUGCUCUGAAAGUCCAAGGCUCAACCUUGGGAUGCGGGUGGAUACUGCCGGGCUCGAGUCCGGAAGAGGCGAGUGGAAUUCCUGGUGUAGCGGUGAAAUGCGCAGAUAUCAGGAGGAACACCGAUGGCGAAGGCAGAUCGUCUGGGCCGUAAGCCUGACGCUGAGGACGAAGCA